UGUUACGUUAUGAUAAUCUUAAGAUAAAGUUUAAUUUGGAUUGUUCAUAUAGACACUAUUCUUUAGUUGUCAAAGCUAUUCCUGUAGCUUUGAGAAAUCUAAUUAAAGGUAUAUUACAAUAUUCUUCUGUAAUACCCACACCUCUGGAUUUGUUUAUUGACAAGUAUAAUUUCUUGGAUGAAAAAUUUAAUAACAAGAUUUUGAGAUCACUUAUUACAAAAGAAUAUUUUCCUCUUCCUGUUAAAAGAAAAAAUCUAUCUCCAAGGUUUUCCAAAGUUGACACUAUCAAAGUUAGAACCAGAUACUUGUCAUUUCCUUUGUUGCCUAAAAUGAAAGAACAUUUCAAAACAAUUAACGAUCCAUGUAACAAAUUUCUAAGAAUAAUUUAAUUUGGAUAGCAUGUGUGUAGGCCUACUUUUUGUCAAAAAGAAUCUCAGGAACAUCUUUUUUUAUAAUUGUACGAUUGUUAAGUCCUUUUGGGACAGAUUAUGAGUGGUUGGAGACAAAAAAAAUGUAAUACCUGCCUUUGACUAUCAUAUUGAUAAUUUGGUGUCUUUUUGGACAACAAAGACAUUGAAUUUUCGUGUAAUAAUGUCUUGAUUGUAGCCAAAUUUUACCUACACACAUGUAGAUUUGUUUCUCCAUGUUUUGAGGCAUUUAAAAUGACUUUAAAAUUUUAUUUAAAUCUUUAAAACAACUAAAAAUGAGGAGUGCCUUAAAGCUCUCUAAAUUACUAGCAAUAUAUGGAUUAACCCACCCUGAAAUCUAAUUUACUCUGUUAUAAUUUGCUUUUCAUGUUUUGUUUGUUUGUUUGUUUGUUUGUUUAUGUUAUUAUUAACUUGUUUACAGUAUGCUGCUUGGUCUUAUUGUUAAUGUCUAUCAUUGAUAAUAUGUUAAUGCCUGUUUGUUAUUUGAAAUGAUUUAAUUAAAAAAAAAAGUACUUAUAAAGCAAAAAAAAAAAAAAAAAAACGUAAAACGUAAAACGUCAAACCUCGCUCCUUAUUGGCUGUCACUUGUGAUUCGCGAUUGUUUGCUACUUGCCAGAUUUGAGUUGGCGUGAUUUUUAUUUUUUUUUUUUCCCAAACCAGUUAAGCGCAAACCACGCCCCUUAAGUUAAAACCCCAUCCCGCAGCCUUGACUCACGGCUCUAGCUCGAUUUCAUUGGUCAACUCUGUUACGUUGUCACCUGAGGCGUUAAUGAAUGCUGUUGUUGGAUCGGUCGCUGACAAACGGUAAGAUAAGCCUGCCAAUUGUUUUUCAUUGCAUUUUAUUAUCAUAAGUAUUUGUACUUUUCAAUGUGAGGUUUUUUUAAGAAUUAUUAUUAUAAUUUUCAUUUUUACUCUAAUCUUUAUCUUUAUUUCGAUUGCCCUCAGGGGAGUACGCUUGUUCUGGCAGUGAGGAAGAGCAAGCCUUACAUCUUAAGAACUGGUUACCUCCUGGGUAUAACUGUCACUUCUGCGCCUCGUUCAUGUACUACACACAAUCAAACCUGGACCACACAAGCUUUGAUGCGUCGCUCAGGAUUGCACUGACAGAAAGUUGUGAAGUAAAGGAAUGGGUGAAAAAGCUUAGUGAGUCAUCAGGAGUGAGUUGGAGAGUGGCAGUGACGAAACCAAGUAAGGGACAACAUGUGCUUUAUAAGGCUCAUUAUAGGUGCCAGCACAAUGUUUGUGUCCGAUCAGGCACGGCUAAUCAAAGACGGUUAUCAAAAAAUACAUGCUGUGAGGCAAAAAUGGUUUGCACUCUGGUGAAGACUGUAGACAAAAGGGGAGGAUCUAGUAGGAACAAUGAUCCCCAUAUACCCACCUACCCAACUUCUGUGCAUUUGUACAUAAUCAUAACAUCUUUGUUGCGGAGGCACUGAGACACAGGGAUGUAGGGGCCAAGGCAAUAGAGUCCCUGGCUCAGUUGUUUGAGAACGGGCACAGCCCAACAUCAGCUCUGGCUGUACUUAAAAGUGACCUGCUGGCUGAGCAUGGCAACAAAUAUGUAUAUGCCUCAGCCAACCGUGCCCUUUGCCCAGACCUUCAGUUUUGCUACAGAUACAAGAAGUUCCUGACCACGUGUGACAGACGUUGCACUUGGCCAUUGGGAGGCAAUCCACCGGUCAAGAUUCCUUGCUACAAAAAGUAAUAUUAAAGCAUCUGAUAUUUCUCAGGUAAAGUACGAUUUUUAAAUAUAAAUCGUUAUAAAAUUGGAGAUUCUUUUCUCAUUAUGUGUUUUUAAGCCAUCUUGCAGCCUUGUGUUUUCGUCCUGUCAUCAUCAACCGUCAAAGUUCAACUCCAAUAAGAACGCCAGUACAAAGGAGGCAUGAGUAGCAUCGGAUCUGCAGGCUGAGGAGCAUCGGAUCUGUAGGCUGAGGAGCAUUGGAUCUGCGGGCUAAGGAGAAAUCUUGAUGAUUCGGUCCGAAGUUGUAGCCAGUAUCUUCUGCGUUGAAUGAAGCAAUAUGAAACAACUUAAGCUGUUAAUUUGACUCUUAGUGGGGAAAAAGUUCUUUCUCUCUCUCAUAGAUGAGCACAUGGCUGGAUUGCAGGCCUAGGCCUACAGGCCUUGCAGGUCCACAUGCCUUGGCCUGAAGAGGCCUGCAGCAAAAGGGGGUCUCUUCAGUCGUCCAAGAAGCAAGAAAAAGAGAGUGAGGGGCGUUGUGCACUGGCUUUUAACCUAUGGUCAAAGUCACACCUCUUAGGGUUGACCUGACCAAUGAAGAUGUUGUAUUUCCGGGCGACAACACGCCUCCUGUCAGGGCUUUUACGACCAAGCAAGAUAAACUGGCUGAGUUUUUGAAGAAGAACUAUUAAAGAUUCUUGUAAUACUGAUGUGUUGCACAGGAAUCGACAUAUCGCAUACACAAGCAUUUAAAUCUUCUCGAUACGAACCCAUAGACACUAAACAUGGCAUAAUUGAAGUUACCUUAAAUGUAUCGUAAAACAUGUGAAUACAAUACUGAGUACAAUACAACAAACCGUAUUAAUGGAUACCAUUUCCUGGGGAUAUGCAUGUUAAUUUAUAGAACAGUCUGUCUAUAAAUUAAUGCAGGAAAGUCUGUUUUCUGUAGGAAAGAUGCAGGUUUUCUGUGUGUCUCUUUGUCUCUGCCCUUCUCUGCUCUUCCAUGUGGCAACCAACAUUCUUUAGCGCAAUAAAACUUGUAACUGAGAACUUCUCGGGGGAUGGAGGACAGACCCUAGACUGAGCUUUAAACAAUUAUUGGUUAACUAUAACAAAUAAUUGUGUCUGAUUUGUCUCAGUCGUUACAGUUAUAACAUCUUUGAGGUAAAACAUUACCUAUGCUACUAUGCUAUUACGCAGCGCCUGUGACCCCUGCUUGCACAGGGAGCGUGCCUUGCAACCAUGGAGACAUUUGUGAGAGACGCUGCGUAAUAUCAUUGCGCCUGCUGCAGCCAUGGUACGGCAGCAAAGUUCCUUGAUUAUUACGCCGGAAUGACAGUAUAGUUCCUAGUCAUAUCGGCCUAGAAAAUCGCAACUUUUAAUUUUCCGUCGGUCUUAGUACACGAUGUAGCUACAGAAGAGUCAAGUUUUAAAUAGGAAAAAUAUUGAAACUCUUUGGUCAUUUUUUAACGAGAUGCUAACGGUCUAAUCAGAUUCAAUGAACUAUGCUCAGCUAUGCUAAAAGUGGUACUGCCAGACCCGGAGAUCGGCUGAAUGGAUUCAAAAAUGGUAAAGCUCAACUGUUUAACUCUAGGGGAGUUGGAAAAUUAGCCUAUUUUCGAAAAAAGUGGAGUGUUCCUUUAAAGGUGUUGCCCUUACACACAGCCUUAGAAGUGACCACUAAAACAAAAGCAUUUAAAGACAAUACAGGCAAUUACCCCUGACUGUGUAGAUAAUAGUACCCCAAAUGGUAUAAACAGUAGCUGGUCACGAGAACUAAGACUAUGUAAACAUUCACACAUAGUUUGACUUCCAGUAGGAAGAUCAAAGCAUUCAAAUGCAUAGGUGCUAACCCAAUCAGUCUGACAGUAUAGCCCAUACCUUCACGUUAUCAUAGAGACAAAGGCACAGCUGUGUCUCGAGCUUGUCAUGCCAAAUGGUCAGGAAGUGCAUAAAGACACCUGGGCUGCCUGACUUGAUUUUCUUAGAAAGUCAUCCUUUUUACCUCAAAAUGUUAAAUACAAUGUACUUCACCUUAGUAUUUCAUAUGAUGUUAUGUCAGGACGUAGGAUCAGCAGAUCUUAAACAGAUUCCUAAAUUUAUAAUCCCACAAGUGACAUUGCUGACAAUAGAGGCCUCACUGAGCCAUCGGAUUUCAUCAACAAUAUCUUAAUUUGUGUUCUGAAGAUGAACGAAGGUCUUACAGGUGUAGAACAACAUAAGGGUGAGUAAUUAAUGACAUAAUUUUCAUUUUUGAGUGAACUAACCCUUUAAAAUGUGUUGGGACAGUUAGUUGAGCAACAAGAUCAUUGCAUCUCAAUUCUCACAAAGAAUAGUUGAAUAGUUGUGUCCUUGUGUCCUUCCAAGUUCGUUCUUUAAAGCUAGUCUAAGCAGUCUAGUCUUUGAAUUCUUAGAAUUGAGAAACAUCCAGUAUAUCUGUAUUUUAUGUCUUCAUGUCACUGUUAGGUUGGAGAAAAGAAGUUUCUGGUGAAAUCCUCUACAUCAGGGCACACCUAUAUAGUGGACAUGGAGUUGGAGCUCUGCACAUGUCCUGUUGGCCAUAGUGGAGCACCAUGCAAACACCAGGCAGCCUCCAUCACCUCCAUCAACUUUCUUCCCACAACUGCUGAAAUGAGGGCUGAGCUGCUGAAAAUAACAAAAGGUAAUCAUUUCUUUGCAGCAUUGGUUGUCACACAUGGACUGACACUACCUUCUUUAGAUAUUUGAACAAAUAUGUCCUGUUUAUCAUCUUCACAGCCUCAGUUUCUCUUGACUUCCUGAACCCUUUACGGCAAAAUAUGCCUAAGCCAAGCAUGUUAGCUGUAGGUAAGAAAGUUCAAGUGGGACAUAUAUUAUACAUACUUAAUUCCUAAUAAAAACAACUUGUACAGCAGUGUGACAUUAGUAUACAAUUGUUAUAGACAUGCCUCCGAGGCAAGAAACCUGCAAUACUGAUCAUCAGUACCAUCUCAUAGCUCAAGAUGACGGUCAGUAUAAAGGGAGAGAUGGUGCUGUUUUUUUUUUUUGUUUUUUUGUUUUUUCAAUGUAUUUUUUUUUUUUUUUUUUUUUUUUUUUUUUUAAAUGGUGGCAUAUCUCUUGCUACAUUUCAUUUUGUCUCUGUGUUUAUGAACCCGUAGACUUGCAUCAGCUAGGCCUGUCUUCCCCCAGCUCUCCACAACUGCACCAAAUAUCACCUACUCUAGAGGACUCAUACUCCAAACAACCCUGUGUGCCGAGUAACUCAGAGGAAGCAUCUACACCUCAGUCUCCUGUGAGACGGAUGCUGGGACUGCUCAGUGAACUGGCUGAAAACUCUGACUACAGUGAUGCCAUUACUAUAAUGGCCAAGCAGCUUGAAAAGAUGCAGCACAACCCGACCCAACUGAUCUCUGCAUUUUACUGUUUUGGUAAAGGGAUGUUGGUGUCAAAACGUGCAGCAGCAUUAAGACGAGCUGCUAGACGACCAGGUCAUAUUAUUGGCUGUCAGCCAACAGCAGUGGCCCGAAGAACAAAUAAGACUGGUUCUAGGCGUCAUUUGACAGCUGGACGGCCCAAAAAAAGAAGUUCUGGUCCAGAGCAUGACUACAGCAGAUAUACAGGAAAAGGGGGGAAAAGGGCUGUCAGGGUUCGCCACAAAUUGUCUGAAUCUGUGGCAAUGAACUACUCGCAUCAAACUUAAAAUGGUACCAAUAUUUGUAUGGUGUGAGUGGGUUGGGUGUUUUUAAUUUGUUCGUCCUGAAUGUUUCAAAAUAUCAAUGUCUAUGUCAGAAUGGCGACUCAUUGUUGGCCGGCUCACACGCAUGCGUUGUGCUGUUCACGUGUGCAGCUUUGGCCAAUACUGAGCCUGGCGUUCUGACGUAGAACCUGGAACCGCUGGACGUAAACAGCAUAAGACAAUGACACAGAAGAGAAGAUACUGUUGAAUACAGUCAUUAUUUUUUUGUUUUUGUGCACAAAAAGUAUUCCCAUCGCUUCAUAACAUUAAGGUUGAACCACUGCAGUCAUGUCGACUGUUUUAACGAUUAUAACUGUUUUAAAAUAUCUUAAUUUGUGUUCUGAAGAUGAACGAAGGUCUUGCGGGUUUGGAACGACAUGAGGGAGAGUAAUUAAUGACAUUAUUUUCAUUUUUGGGUGAACUAACCCUUUACUGCAAACAAAGUAUUAUUUAUGAAUUCUAGGUUAGGACUGCAGGUUAUGAAGUUAUAUUAAAAAUCAUAAUUAUAAACUUGUUUACACUAGGAACUGCACAGACAAAAAUGUAAUUUCAUGCAUCCUUUUAAAGUUUUUGAUAGCAUUGUGAAUUGUAUGUAAUAUUGUUUUUGUGUACCAUGGCAUUUUUGCAUUUAUCUGUUUAAUAAAAAAUACCACAGCACUAUGUGG